rnacentral:rRNA from 1 species
CCCUUAGAUGUUCUGGGCGGCCCGCGCACUACAUUGGCACUGGCAACAAGAUCCUAGAUCUGGUAUUUCGGGGUAUUCUACCAACUGGUGUCGUGACUGGGAUUAACCCCUGCAAUUAUUGGUUAUGAACGAGGAAUUCCUUGUAAUCACGGUUUAUCAACCCGUGUUGAACGCGUCCCUGCCCUUUGUACACACCGCCCGUCGCUCCUACCGAUGAAUCGUCCGGUGAAGUUCAUGGAGUCGCGGCUGCUCCAGCUGUUUUCGAAGUGAAAUGGACCUCAUGAUUUAGAGGAAGGAGAAGUCGUAACA